rnacentral:rRNA from 1 species
AUUGAACGCUGGCGGCAUGCUUUACAUAUGCAAGUCGAACGGUAACAGGCCGCAAGGUGCUGACGAGUGGCGAACGGGUGAGUAAUGCAUCGGAACGUGCCCAGUCGUGGGGGAUAACUACUCGAAAGAGUAGCUAAUACCGCAUACGAUCUAUGGAUGAAAGCGGGGGACCGUAAGGCCUCGCGCGAUUGGAGCGGCCGAUGUCAGAUUAGGUAGUUGGUGGGGUAAAGGCUCACCAAGCCAACGAUCUGUAGCUGGUCUGAGGGGACGACCAGCCACACUGGGACUGAGACACGGCCCAGACUCCUACGGGAGGCAGCAGUGGGGAAUUUUGGACAAUGGGCGCAAGCCUGAUCCAGCAAUGCCGCGUGCAGGAAGAAGGCCUUCGGGUUGUAAACUGCUUUUGUACGGAACGAAACGGCUCUGGUUAAUACCCGGGGCUAAUGACGGUACCGUAAGAAUAAGCACCGGCUAACUACGUG